rnacentral:piRNA from 1 species
GCAGGAAACAAGCUUGGGGCGAGCUGGA